rnacentral:rRNA from 1 species
UAGGGAAUCUUCCACAAUGGACGCAAGUCUGAUGGAGCAACGCCGCGUGAGUGAUGAAGGGUUUCGGCUCGUAAAACUCUGUUGUUGGAGAAGAACAGGUGCCAGAGUAACUGUUGACAUCUUGACGGUAUCCAACCAGAAAGCCACGGCUAACUACGUGCCAGCAGCCGCGGUAAUACGUAGGUGGCAAGCGUUGUCCGGAUUUAUUGGGCGUAAAGCGAGCGCAGGCGGUUUCUUAGGUCUGAUGUGAAAGCCUUCGGCUUAACCGGAGAAGUGCAUCGGAAACCAGGAGACUUGAGUGCAGAAGAGGACAGUGGAACUCCAUGUGUAGCGGUGAAAUGCGUAGAUAUAUGGAAGAACACCAGUGGCGAAGGCGGCUGUCUGGUCUGUAACUGACGCUGAGGCUCGAAAGCAUGGGUAGCGAACAGGAUUAGAUACCCUGGUAGUCCAUGCCGUAAACGAUGAGUGCUAAGUGUUGGAGGGUUUCCGCCCUUCAGU